rnacentral:rRNA from 1 species
UACGUAGGGUGCAAGCGUUGCCCGGAUUUAUUGGGCGUAAAGGGCGCGCAGGCGGCUACGCACGUCCGUUGUGAAAUCGCUCGGCUCAACUGGGCGGGGUCGGCGGAUACGGCGUAGCUGGAGCAAGCUAGGGGGCAAUGGAAUUCCCGGUGUAGUGGUGGAAUGCGUAGAUAUCGGGAGGAACACCAGUGGCGAAGGCGGUUGCCUGGAGCUUUGCUGACGCUGAGGCGCGAAAGCGUGGGGAGCGAAUGGG